rnacentral:rRNA from 1 species
AAAUUGAAGAGUUUGAUCAUGGCUCAGAUUGAACGCUGGCGGCAGGCCUAACACAUGCAAGUCGAACGGUAACAGGAAACAGCUUGCUGUUUCGCUGACGAGUGGCGGACGGGUGAGUAAUGUCUGGGAAACUGCCUGAUGGAGGGGGAUAACUACUGGAAACGGUAGCUAAUACCGCAUAACGUCGCAAGACCAAAGAGGGGGACCUUCGGGCCUCUUGCCAUCGGAUGUGCCCAGAUGGGAUUAGCUAGUAGGUGGGGUAACGGCUCACCUAGGCGACGAUCCCUAGCUGGUCUGAGAGGAUGACCAGCCACACUGGAACUGAGACACGGUC